rnacentral:rRNA from 1 species
AUUCCGGUUGAUCCUGCCAGAGGUCACUGCUAUUGGGAUUCGACUAAGCCAUGCGAGUCGUGAGGGUUCGGCCCUCGGCAGACGGCUCAGUAACACGUAGAUAAUUUGCCCUUAGGUGGAGGAUACCCUCGGGAAACUGAGAAUAAUACUCCAUAGAUCUAGACUGCUGGAAUGCUUUUAGAUUGAAAGAUUUAUCGCCUAAGGAUAAGUCUGCGGACUAUCAGGUCGUAGUUAGGGUAACUACCUGACUAGCCUACGACGGAUACGGGUUGUGAGAGCACUAGCCCGGAGAUGAUAUCUGAGACACGAUAUCAGGCCCUACGGGGCGCAGCAGGCGCGAAAACUUCGCACUGUGCGAAAGCACGACGAGGGAAUCCCAAGUGCUGGCUCGUAAGAGUCAGCUGUUUCUUUGUCUAAAAAACAGAGAGAGUAAGGGCUGGGUAAGACGGGUGCCAGCCGCCGCGGUAAUACCUGCAGCCCAAGUGGUGGCCGCUAUUAUUGGGCCUAAAACGUCCGUAGCCGGUUCUAUAAAUGCCUGGGUAAAUCGUACGGCUUAACCGUACGAAUUCCGGGUAGACUGUUUAACUUGGGACCGGGAGAGGCUAGAGGUACUCCUGGGGUAGAGGUGAAAUUCUGUAAUCCUAGGGGGACCACCAGUGGCGAAGGCGUCUAGCUAGAACGGGUCUGACGGUGAGGGACGAAGCCCUGGGGAGCAAACGGGAUUAGAUACCCCGGUAGUCCAGAGUGUAAACGCUGCUCGCUUGAUGUUAGCCGGGCUCCGAGCCCAACUAGUGUCGGAGAGAAGUUGUUAAGCGAGCUGCCUGGGGAGUACGGUCGCAAGACUGAAACUUAAAAGG